AUUGAACGCUGGCGGCAGGCCUAACACAUGCAAGUCGAGCGGCAGCGGGAAAGUAGCUUGCUACUUUUGCCGGCGAGCGGCGGACGGGUGAGUAAUGCCUGGGAAAUUGCCCAGUCGAGGGGGAUAACAGUUGGAAACGACUGCUAAUACCGCAUGCGCCCUACGGGGGAAAGCAGGGGACCUUCGGGCCUUGCGCGAUUGGAUAUGCCCAGGUGGGAUUAGCUAGUUGGUGAGGUAAUGGCUCACCAAGGCGACGAGCCCUAGCUGGUCUGGGAGGAUGAUCAGCCACACUGGAACUGGGACACGGUCCAGACUCCUACGGGAGGCAGCAGUGGGGAAUAUUGCACAAUGGGGGAAACCCUGAUGCAGCCAUGCCGCGUGUGUGAAGAAGGCCUUCGGGUUGUAAAGCACUUUCAGCGAGGAGGAAAGGUCAGUAGCUAAUAUCUGCUGGCUGUGACGUUACUCGCAGAAGAAGCACCGGCUAACUCCGUGCCAGCAGCCGCCGUAAAAC
rnacentral:rRNA from 1 species